rnacentral:lncRNA from 1 species
AAGACAUGAUGUCGAACAAAAAUAAUUAAAUGCUUAUGUCAGCUAAAUUGUUGAAAAUGAAUUCUGGUAAAGCUACAAACUGCUAAACAGUAAUUAGCAGUAGAUCCAAGUUCGCCUUAUAAUUACAAACUAUUCAGUACAAAGGCAGUUGUUUCUUAGUAUGUUUGUCAGUGGAAUAUUACCAUUGAUUACCAAUAACCGCCAUGUGCCUUAUUUGUUUCACCAGCUAUAUUAAAUGAGUUCAAAAACCGUUAUUAAAAUUAUGUCACACCAAGUGUUAUUUCAGAAAAAGUGUUGUUUCCAGCUGUAAAACACGUGUGAGGUAUGUCAUAUAUGCUGAGGACUACAUUACCCACAAUACACUAAAAUGGGCUCGACGUGAUGACGACACAGUUCACCUAAAAACUCUUCCCUUUCGUUUAUUACGUCCUCUUGGAGUUGGUGCCAUAUUAGAAAGGGCCAUCUCCACGACAUGCGAGCGAAGUGGAGAAAGAAGCGUAUGCGCAGGCUGAAGCGCAAAAGGAGAAAGAUGAGGCAGAGGUCCAAGUAAAGUGACCCCUCUGGUGCAGCUGUGGUGUGCCCACCCCCCACUUCCUGCUCUUUGUGCGGCUUGGGAUGACCUGAGAGAUGACCUUCCAGCAGCAGUCAUCCAGGAUGGUGAACUACGGGACUUUCUACCACCACACCACACCACUCCACUCCACUCACCCUCCCUUGCUGAUGGUGUUUCCAAAGAGCCUAUGAAGAAGCUGGAUGCUGUGCCAAUUGCUUUGGCAUAAUGGACUCUCAACACCUACCCCUCACAGCUGCUUUGUUUGAAACAUCUGAAUAAAGUCUUUGGUUUACAAACCA